rnacentral:rRNA from 1 species
AUGAACGCUGGCGGCGUGCCUAAUACCUGCAAGUCGCGCGCACAGACGAGGAGCUUGCUCCUCUGACGUUAGCGGCGGACGGGUGAGUAACACGUGGAUAACCUACCUAUAAGACUGGGAUAACUUCGGGAAACCGGAGCUAAUACCGGAUAAUAUAUUGAACCGCAUGGUUCAAUAGUGAAAGACGGUUUUGCUGUCACUUAUAGAUGGAUCCGCGCCGCAUUAGCUAGUUGGUAAGGUAACGGCUUACCAAGGCAACGAUGCGUAGCCGACCUGAGAGGGUGAUCGGCCACACUGGAACUGAGACACGGUCCAGACUCCUACGGGAGGCAGCAGUAGGGAAUCUUCCGCAAUGGGCGAAAGCCUGACGGAGCAACGCCGCGUGAGUGAUGAAGGUCUUCGGAUCGUAAAACUCUGUUAUUAGGGAAGAACAAAUGUGUAAGUAACUAUGCACGUCUUGACGGUACCUAAUCAUAAAGCCACGGCUAACUACGUG